GCAGGAGAAGGUGUUUUUAGGAUCCUUGAGGGGGGUGAGUUUUACACAACUCAAUCUUUGGAUUGGGGGCGUGGGGUCCAUUCUCGGACGUUCCCUGUUUGGUACUUGUUGCGAGUACACAGUUGAGGAGUAUAGGAGUUGGAGGUGAUACCUAUUAUGGGUGCCGUUGAGGACCACGUUGUGGAGACGCUUUUGCGAAUUAGGAGCUUGCCCCGGCUUGAAACCGAGUGGGUUGUCAUGCUUCACAGGAAUAUGUUAAAGGUGCA
rnacentral:lncRNA from 1 species